UGGGGAGUAUUGCACAAUGGGGAAGACCCUGAUGCAGCGACGCCGCGUGUGGGAAGACGGUCCUCUGGAUUGUAAACCACUGUCCCCAGGGACGAAGAUGACGGUACCUGGGGAGGAAGCUCCGGCUAACUACGUGCCAGCAGCCGCGGUAAUACGUAGGGAGCAAGCGUUGUCCGGAAUUACUGGGUGUAAAGGGAGCGUAGGCGGGGAUGCAAGUUGGGUGUCAAAACUAAUCGGCUCACUGAUAGUCGCACUCAAAACUGCAGCUCUUGAGUGAAGUAGAGGCAGGCGGAAUUCCUAGUGUAGCGGUGAAAUGCGUAGAUAUUAGGAGGAACACCAGUGGCGAAGGCGGCCUGCUGGGCUUUUACUGACGCUGAGGCUCGAAAGUGUGGGGAGCAAACAGGAUUAGAUACCC
rnacentral:rRNA from 1 species